CCCGCCAAGAGAGGGCAACAGCCUAGAACUCAACAAACAGACCGAAGAGGCUACUUACAUCAUCCCAUUUGACAAAUUUGAUGCCUUUCUUCAGGUUGUCGGAGACGCUGACAGGUUUGAGUUGCAAAGCGUGAACUCCUGGCUGUGCCCCGGCCAUUUACACACAUGGAGGCUUCCCAGCAGAUGAGAAGGGACAAUCCGAGAAGGGGCGAGAAGUGGGGAAAAGGUGGUUCAGCGCAGGAGUGCAGAGCAGGCGGAUAUAUGGCACGUCAGAUGUGGAACAUUGAAAAUACUGUCAGACUUUGCUGAUAUGCUGAUUAUUUUGUAAAGACCCUUUCUUUU
rnacentral:lncRNA from 1 species